UCUUACCAAGGCUAGAGUACAGUGGCACAGUCAUAGCUCACUGCAGCCUUAAACUCCCAGACUCAGGCAAUGGAUCCGAUCCUCCCACCUCAGCCAGCCUCCCAAGUAGCUGAGACUACAGGAAGAUCUGGCAAGAGUUAGCAUGCAGGUCUACAUUGUGACAAUCCAUGAGAGCUAAGGACUGGCUGUCUCUUGGGACAAAUAGGCUUUCUUGAGUCUGGAUGUCCGCUCUGCUUGUCUUACCGCAUGAGAGAGUGCAGAUGUUCCUGAAAGCAUCUUUGCGUGGAUUUGCUUGAAGCGAGAUGUGAGAGAAGGGGCAAAGCUCGAAGGGAGCUGCUAGAGAGAGAGGAAAGCAGCUGGACAGGGCUUUCCUGAUGACUGAAAU
rnacentral:lncRNA from 1 species